GGCGGCUUUUUACGUCGGUGCUAGAGCCCCGGGCUUAACUCCGGUUCUCCUUUCGAUAUGGCCGGCUAGAGUGUGGUUGGGGAGGUUGGAUUUUCCUGUCGUAGCGGGGAAUAGCGCAGAUAUCAGGAGGACACUGGUGGCGAAGGCGGAUCUGUGGGCCAUUUCUGACGUUGAGGAGUGAAAGCGUGGGGAGCGAACUGGAUUAGAUUCCCUGGUAGUCCACGCCGUAAACGCUGGGAACUUGGUGUUGGCGACAUUCCACGUCGUCGGUGCCGCAGCUAACGCAUUAAGUUACCCGCCUGGGGAGUACGGCCGCAAGGAUAAAACUCAAAGGAUUUGACGGGGGCCCGCACAAGCAGCGGAGCAUGUGGUUUAAUUCGACGCAAUGCGAAGAACCUUACCAAGGCGGGACAUACACCGGAAAGCAUUAGAGAUAGUGCCCCCCUUGUGGUCGGUGUACAGGUGGUGCAUGGAAAUAGUCAGCUAGUGUCGUGAGAUGUUGGGUUAAGUCCCGCAACGAGCGCAACCGAUGUCCCGUGUUGCCAGCAAGCCCCCUUGUGGGGUGUGGGGGACUCACGGGAGAC
rnacentral:rRNA from 1 species